rnacentral:lncRNA from 1 species
CUCUCCUUCAAGCUCCUCUACUGCACCCUCUAGAAUACCUUUCCCAAAGGUAAACACCCACCCCUUUGCUGACAUCCUCUCUACCCUCUGUCCCAAUGGCAACACAGCUCUCCUGGGGAACUGCUGCUGCCAAAUGGCCAGCCCCAUCCCAUUGACCUCACUGUCAACCUCCUGGCUUCUGACCCGUGACCACUCGGUUAUACUUGAAAACUGUCCUGCUCCUUGGUGGCUUAGGCUAGCACAUGUUAAGCCACAGGUAGACCUCUGUCUGUAUUCAGGUUCAGAGCCCAGCUAUUCCUCUCUCAACCUUCAACUUCACCUCCUUUCUUCCCUCAUUCUAAGCAGAUAACCUGGCUCAUCUCAUUCCCUGAAACCCUUCCUAUAGACCCACUUACAUCUGCAACCAUCUCUUCCUUCUUUUAUCCACUGGAAAGUUAAUCUCCCCCAAGGGCCCUGGAUCCCACUUCCUCCUCUCUUCUCUUGACCCUAGCUCCAUCAACUGCUGUCUCUCUUUCCUGUACCUGCAAUGUUUCCCUCCGUUUUUGCUCCUUUUCCUCAGCAAUUUUUUUUUUUUUGAGACGGAGUCUCGCUCUGUCGCCCAGUUGGGAGUGCAGCGGUGUGAUCUCGGCUCACUGCAACCUCUACAUUCCAGGUUCAAGCAAUUCUCCUGCCUCGGCCUCCUGAACAGCUGGCACUAUAAGUACGCGCCACCACGCCCAGCUACUUUUUGUAUUUUUAGUAGAGAUAGGGUUUCGCCAUGUUAAUUAGGCUGGUUUUGAACUCCUCACCUCGGGUGAUCCACUGGCCUUGGCCUCCCAAAGUGCUGGGAUUACAGGUGUAAGCCACCACACCCACCUUAAUGACUUUCUGAUGCCCUCAGGAAAAAGGCAAAACUCUUUUCAUAUCAAGUGCAAGAUCCUUCACAGUCUGGUUCUUAUCUGUGGUCUCAUUUCUCCUUUCCUCACACUCUGACCAAGCCAGACUGAACAACCUGUAAUUCGUCAAACAUAUCAGGUGAGGUGUGAAUGUUCUAUUCGGCUCCAGGUUCUGUGCAUGCUGUUCCCUCCUGGCAGGUUCCUGCCACCCCUCCCGCAAAUACAGGUAAUCUCCUCAGGUCACAGCCUCUUUGACAUCUUAUCUGACAAUCUCCCCCUCCUUCUCCAACACUUGGUUAGGUGGCUUUUCUAUGUUCUCCUAUAACACACUACACUUCUCCCAGCACAGAACUUACCACACUGCACAAUGGUCUGUUUGCCAAUCAGAGAAGCAACAUGCCAGCAUGGCAGGGAAUCCAGGCUUUGGGGGCGGACAGUUCUGGGUUUGAAAAUAUCCCCACCUCUCACUAGCUGUAUGACUAUCAGCAAGUUACUAAAUCUCUAGGCUUUGAACUCCUCAUCUGUAACACGGGCUAGAAACACCUACCUCACAUGGUUGCUGCAAAGACUAAAUCAGACAAGGCAGGAAGAACAUGGUACAAGCACCUAAGAAGCACUCAGUAAGUGGUAGUUAUUUUUUAUUAUUUUUUGAGACGAGGUCUGUCAUGCAGGCUGGAGUACAGCGGCAUGAUCAUGGCUCACUGCAGUCUCAACCACCCAGACUCAAGCGAUCCUCCCACCUCAGCCUCCAGAGUAGCUGGGACCACAGAUGUGUACCAUCACACUCAGCUAAUUUUAAAAUUAUGAAUAUUUGUAGAGGUGAGGUCUCACUACGUUGCCCAGGAUGGUCUCGAGCUCCUGACCUCAAGUGAUCUGCCCACAUUGGCCUCCCAAAGUGCUGGAAUUACAGGCUAAGCCACCACACCCGGCCUAUUAUUUCCCUAUUAUAAUGGAACUAAGAGCAGAAACCUUAUAAAUUGCUCAAUUUUCCCAGCGUUCAGCAUAGGUACCUAGGAAAUAUAUGUUGAUGCAUGAAUGAGAACAGAGAACAAAGAAGAUGGGGGGAAAAAAUCAAAGGUAGGACCCCCAGAUUUGAGGAGAUAUCUAAAUACCUGAGAGAAUUAUUUUUAUUUUUAUUUAUUGUGAAACAGAGUCUCACUCUGUCGCCCAGGCUGAAGUGCAGAGGCGUGAUCUCAGCUCACUGCAACCUCUGCCUUCCAGGUUCAAGUGUUUCUCCCGCCUCAGCCUCCCGAGUAGCUGGGAUUACAGGCGCACGCCACUGUGCCCGACUAAUUUUUUGUAUUUUUAGUAGAGAUGGAGUUUCACCAUGUUGGCCAGGCUGGUCUCGAACUCCUGACCUCAGGUGAUCCACCCACCUUGGCCUCCCAAAGUGCUGGGAUUACAGGCAUGAGCCACUGUGACCGGCCAAUAAUUUUUAAAGCUAAUAUUUUUAUAAGUAGUUACAAUGCACCAGAUACUGCCUAUGUAUAUAACUAAUUUAAUCCUCACAACCUUAUGAGGUAGAUACUAGCAUUUCUAUUCUACACUUGAGGAAACAGGCACAGAUAAGUGGAAGUGACUCACCCAAGGUCCUACCAAACUGUUGAGUAGCAGAACCCUGCCAAUUUGGCAUUAGUGGCCGGCUAUUUAAUCAUGACUCCACGCUACCUUUCAAAUAAAAGCAGAUGGUAAGGAAAGGACAGCUGUGAGGACUGAACCAUUAAGCACAUUCCCCUAACAGAGAAAGGGAAUUGCAAAGGUGGCAGAACAAACACAGUAACAGAUGAGUUUUAAGGAGGAAUUAAAAAAAAACUUUAGGCCGGGCGCCAUGUCUCACGCCUGUAAUCUCAGCACUUUGGGAGGCCGAGGCGGGUAGAUCAUUUGAGGUCGGAAAUUGGAGACCAGCCUGGCAAACAUGGUGAAACUCCGUCUCUACCAAAGAUACAAAAAAUUAGCUGGGUGUGGUGGCACGCACCUGUGGUCCCAGGUACUCAUGGUGCGGCCACCAUUGCAUCUUGGGCCUCACUAACCAGUUCCCGUUUGUUGGAUUCAAUACUGUCUCACCACACAGGCCAAUCUUGUGUUUUAUUAAUUUUUUAAAUUUUUUUUUUUUUUUUUGUAGAGAUGGGCUCACUAUGUUGCCCAGGCUGGUCCUGAACUCCUGAGGUAGGAGGAUCGCUUGAGCCUGGGAGACAGAGGUUGCAGUGAGCCGAGAUUAUGCUACUGCACUCCUGCCUGGGUGACACAGUGAGACUCUGUCUUAAACAAAACAAAACAAAAAAAGGCCAGGCGCAGGGGCUCACACCUGUAAUCCUAGCACUUUGGGAGGCCAAGGUGGGUGGAUCAUUUGAGGUCAGGAGUUUGAGACCAGCCUGAUCAGCAUGGUGAAACCCCGUCUCUACUAAAAACAGAAAAAUUAGCCAGGUGUCGUGGCUUGCACCUGUAGUCCCAGCUACUCAGGAGGCUGAGACAGGAAAAUUGCUUCAACCAGGGAGAUGGAGGCUGCAGUGCGCAGAGUCGCGCCACUGCCUGGGUGACACAGUGAGACUCCAUCUCAAAAAAGCCCAGGGUGCUUGGCGCCAAAAAAGGGAUCUCUGACCUUGUGUUCAUUAUGACCUUCAAAAGAGUGAAGUGGUGAGGGCAUGAGGGCAGAGGAAAAGAAGGGCUUAAGACAACGAAGGAAAAGAAGGCACCAGAGUCUAGUGCCUUUGCCGCCAAACCUAAGCCUAUAAGGUUGGCAGCAAAACCAAAGCACAAACUGAUAGCAAAGGAGGUAAAGCCAGGGGAGAAGAAACUGAAGACGUCAAAGACAGAAAUGAAGCACAUCAUCUGGUUUAAAACAAAUGAUAGAGUUUUUACAGUUCUGGAAAAUGACCGUAUAAUAUUCUCUGCUAAGAAGAAUAACUUCUGCUAAACAACCAUAAGACUGCAGCUGGCUCUACUCAGAUCUGCUUAUUCCAACAAGACCAAGGUGCUAGUUCUAACUUCGAGUAGUCCCUCUGUAUGGCUGCAGCGUUGCGCACAGUGGACUGCCGGUCACAAGGAAGACUGGAUGAGCGUGGGUUCACACAUUUCCCACACUUGCCUCAGCAAAAGAACCACCUGGGACACUUGUUUAAAAAUGACAGAUUCCCACGGUCCACCUCGGCAGAUUCUGAUCCUGCCACGCCAGGGAGCUGUAUUUUUCAACAAGUACACCAGGUGAUCACGCAAGUUUAAGAAAUUAGCACAAGUUGGCCGGGCGCAGUGGCUCACGCCUGUAAUCCCAG